GAAGUCCCCAUCGGGCAAAGUCUAACCAACAGCCCGUACCGAGUGUUGCGCGGUCAGCGGAAUCGGUUGCAACAUCGGUGAACAAAGAUCGUGAAGCGUACACAGGGAACACUGCAGGCCGCAGGGGAGACGUACCUCCCCAAAGCAAUUCAGCCUCGUCAGAGUAAUCAAUGCAGUCGGCGACGGUUUUAACGUAUCGGAAGCCAGUACAGAGGAAUCGAAUGGUGAGAUUCCCGAGGGGCUGCCGGGGUCCAAGAGCG
rfam:Desulfobulbaceae bacterium BRH_c16a BRHa_1003724, whole genome shotgun sequence.